rnacentral:tRNA from 1 species
UGGGGUGUAGCUCAGUGUUAGAGUGCAUGCUUAGCAUACAUGAGGUCCUGGGUUCAGUUCUUAGCACCAAAA